AACAUAGUGCCUGAUUAAAAGGAUAGCUUUGAUAGAGCUAAUCAUGUAGCUUUACUACCUAUGUUA
rnacentral:tRNA from 1 species